UACGUAGGGUGCGAGCGUUAAUCGGAAUUACUGGGCGUAAAGCGUGCGCAGGCGGUUUUGUAAGCCGGAUGUGAAAGCCCCGGGCUCAACCUGGGAAUUGCAUUCGAGACUGAAUAGCUAGGGUACGGUAGAGGGAAGUGGAAUUUCCGGUGUAGCGGUGAAAUGCGUAGGUAUCGGAAGGAACAUCAGUGGCGAAAGCGACUUCCUGGACCAGUGCCGACGUUCAGGCACGAAAGCGUGGGGAGCAAACAGG
rnacentral:rRNA from 1 species